rnacentral:rRNA from 1 species
AGUGGGGGAUAACGUAGCGAAAGUUACGCUAAUACCGCAUAUGCCCUGAGGGGGAAAGGAGGGGAUCGUAAGACCUUUCGCUUUCGGAGUGGCCGAUAUCAGAUUAGCUAGUUGGUGGGGUAAAGGCCCACCAAGGCGACGAUCUGUAGCGGGUCUGAGAGGAUGAUCCGCCACACUGGGACUGAGACACGGCCCAGACUCCUACGGGAGGCAGCAGUGGGGAAUUUUGGACAAUGGGGGCAACCCUGAUCCAGCCAUGCCGCGUGAGUGAAGAAGGCCUUCGGGUUGUAAAGCUCUUUCGGACGGAAAGAAAUCCUAUUCGCUAAUACCGGGUGGGGAUGACGGUACCGUAAGAAGAAGCACCGGCUAACUACGUGCCAGCAGCCGCGGUAAUACGUAGGGUGCGAGCGUUAAUCGGAAUUACUGGGCGUAAAGCGUGCGCAGGCGGUUUUGUAAGACAGAUGUGAAAUCCCCGGGCUUAACCUGGGAACUGCAUUUGUGACUGCAAGGCUGGAGUGCGGCAGAGGGGGGUAGAAUUCCA